rnacentral:rRNA from 1 species
GACGAACGCUGGCGGCGUGCUUAACACAUGCAAGUCGAACGGUGAAGCGAGUGCUUGCACUCGUGGAUCAGUGGCGAACGGGUGAGUAACACGUGAGUAACCUGCCCAUCACUCUGGGAUAAGCACUGGAAACGGUGUCUAAUACUGGAUACGACCAACCCUUGCAUGGGGUGUUGGUGGAAAGAUUUAUCGGUGAUGGAUGGACUCGCGGCCUAUCAGCUUGUUGGCGGGGUAAUGGCCCACCAAGGCGACGACGGGUAGCCGGCCUGAGAGGGUGACCGGCCACACUGGGACUGAGACACGGCCCGGACUCCUACGGGAGGCAGCAGUGAGGAAUAUUGCACGAUAGGCGAAAGCCUGAUGCAGCGACGCCGCGUGAGGGAUGACGGCCUUCGGGUUGUAAACCUCUUUCAGCAGGGAAGAAGCGAAAGUGACGGUACCUGCAGAAGAAGCACCGGCUAACUACGUG